rnacentral:rRNA from 1 species
GACGAACGCUGGCGGCGUGCCUAAUACAUGCAAGUCGAACGCUUCUUUCCUCCCGAGUGCUUGCACUCAAUUGGAAAGAGGAGUGGCGGACGGGUGAGUAACACGUGGGUAACCUACCCAUCAGAGGGGGAUAACACUUGGAAACAGGUGCUAAUACCGCAUAACAGUUUAUGCCGCAUGGCAUAAGAGUGAAAGGCGCUCUCGGGUGUCGUUGAUGGAUGGACCCGCGGUGCAUUAGCUAGUUGGUGAGGUAACGGCUCACCAAGGCCACGAUGCAUAGCCGACCUGAGAGGGUGAUCGGCCACACUGGGACUGAGACACGGCCCAGACUCCUACGGGAGGCAGCAGUAGGGAAUCUUCGGCAAUGGACGAAAGUCUGACCGAGCAACGCCGCGUGAGUGAAGAAGGUUUUCGGAUCGUAAAACUCUGUUGUUAGAGAAGAACAAGGACGUUAGUAACUGAACGUCCCCUGACGGUAUCUAACCAGAAAGCCACGGCUAACUACGUG